UAACACGUAGGGUGCAAGCGUUGUCCGGAAUUAUUGGGCGUAAAGGGCUCGUAGGCGGUCCGUCACGUCGGGAGUGAAAACUCGGGGCUCAACCCCGAGCCUGCUUUCGAUACGGGCGGACUAGAGGUAGGUAGGGGAGAACGGAAUUCCUGGUGUAGCGGUGGAAUGCGCAGAUAUCAGGAGGAACACCGGUGGCGAAGGCGGUUCUCUGGGCCUUACCUGACGCUGAGGAGCGAAAGCGUGGGGAGCGAACAGGAUUAGAUACCCUGGUAGUCCACGCCGUAAACGUUGGGCGCUAGGUGUGGGAUCCAUUCCACGGGUUCCGUGCCGCAGCUAACGCAUUAAGCGCCCCGCCUGGGGAGUACGGCCGCAAGGCUA
rnacentral:rRNA from 1 species